rnacentral:lncRNA from 12 species
UUUUCUUUUCUUUUCUUUUCUUUUCUUUUCUUUUCUUUUCUUUUCUUUUCUUUUCUUUUCUUUUCUUUUCUUUUCUUUUCUUUUCUUUUCUUUUUUUUUUUCUUUUCUUUUUUUAAAAUUAAAUCUUCAUCCUAAAACAAAUACAGUAGUGGGUGAGGGUGAUAUGUUCCUGUUUAUUUUUAAGUGGAAGGAGGAUAGCAGCAGCAUUUGGCAUGCACUGAAGAAGUGUGAGAACUGGGCCUUACAGUCACCAUGAACUGAGCUUCAGCUUUCGAGAAGAAAUAAAGAAGUGUAAUUGGGUGAGAUCUAAUUCUUUCACAACUGAUGAACGUGCAGUAGAGUUGACAAGCACAUACUGUUGUGGUGGAGCUACUGACCAUUUGAAGACAGCAAACAGAGUAUGCUCUUUAUUGAUGUAUAAAUUAAAUUCUUUCAUUGCCACCUUGUCUGUUGAAAAAUUUGGUGUAAAAGUGAGUCAGUACUGAAUAGAUCUUUCUGUAAUAUCUUCAUUGACAUACCAACUUGACCUAGAAGGCCAGUGAAGAAAAAUCAUCAGGAAACAAUAUAUAUUGCAAUAUACAUUUGAUAUGUGGAUAUAUCAUAGGAG